rnacentral:other from 1 species
CUAGCCCUGCUGUGCUCGUGAGGUGCGGUUGCAGUUUUGAGCCAACACCGUUAACGAGGGAACCCGGUCUCUGGUGGUGAAGAGCAAGCCUGCGCCCUCCCGGCGUUCAGGAAGCCCAAAGCCAUCAGGAGGGUACCCACCUGCCGAGGGCAGGUUCAAACACCACCGCUGACACGGCAUAGUGGGGUGUUU